UACGUAGGGUGCGAGCGUUAAUCGGAAUUACUGGGCGUAAAGGCGUGCGCAGGCGGUUCGUUAAGUUCGUUGUGAAAGCCCCGGGCUCAACCUGGGAACUGCAAUGGAAACUGGCGGGCUUGAGUGUGGCAGAGGGGGGUGGAAUUCCGCGUGUAGCAGUGAAAUGCGUAGAGAUGCGGAGGAACACCGAUGGCGAAGGCAGCCCCCCUGGGCCAACACUGACGCUCAGGCACGAAGCGUGGGGAGCAAACAGG
rnacentral:rRNA from 1 species